UACGGAGGGAGCAAGCGUUACUCGGAAUUAUUGGGCGUAAAGGGCGCGUAGGCGAUCUGAUAUGUCUCGUGUGAAAUCCCAGGGCCUAACCCUGGAAUGGCACGGGAAACUGUUGGAUUUGAGUUCCGGAGAGGAAGGCAGAAUUCCCGGUGUAGCGGUGAAAUGCGUAGAUAUCGGGAGGAAUACCAGUGGCGAAGGCGGCCUUCUGGACGGAUACUGACGCUGAGGCGCGAAAGCCAGGGGAGCGAACGGG
rnacentral:rRNA from 1 species